rnacentral:rRNA from 1 species
GGGAAUAUUGGACAAUGGGCGCAAGCCUGAUCCAGCAAUGCCGCGUGGGUGAAGAAGGUUUUCGGAUUGUAAAGCCCUUUCGGCGGAGACGAUGAUGACGGUACCCGCAGAAGAAGCUCCGGCUAACUUCGUGCCAGCAGCCGCGGUAAUACGAAGGGGGCUAGCGUUGCUCGGAAUGACUGGGCGUAAAGGGCGCGUAGGCGGUUGUCAUAGUCGGGUGUGAAAUUCCUGGGAUUAACCUGGGGGCUGCAUUCGAUACGUGGCGGCUUGAGUGGGGAAGAGGGUCGUGGAAUUCCCAGUGUAGAGGUGAAAUUCGUAGAUAUUGGGAAGAACACCGGUGGCGAAGGCGGCGACCCGGUCCUUUACUGACGCUGAGGCGCGAAAGCGUGGGGAGCAGAC